rnacentral:lncRNA from 1 species
UUCCAUAUGAUCUAAGAGAAACAUAUUGAGAGCUUUAGUUUUGAGAAGUUUCUAAAGCUAAUAAGAAAAGUUGUUCUUAUAACUCUUUGUGUUUCUAAGAGAUUUGAUCAUAAGGAUGUGAUUUUUUUGUGUUUUGUGAUGUCAAAAGUAUAUGCUCGAUCUAGUUUUCAAAACCAACGGAUGAAGUUGUAAGGCGGGGCAAAUUUUCAAAGAGAAACUGCGUUUUAAAAUCAUCUCCAAGAGUGCACAAAAGAAAAAUCGUCUCCAAGAGAUAGUUGAUGAUCUGUUGUCGGAUUGUCGUGAGUUCUUGGUGUAAAGUUUGAUAUGAAUGUUAAAGUGUGUUAGUUGUCAAAAAAAAACUGUGUUUUAAAUCGCCGCUUAAAGUACGGCAAGUUUCACGUAAUUAUCAACGUGAGGUUGUUCAGCCAAAGAGGUGGGCGAUGCUUAUCGUGGUUUCUGAUAGGCG